rnacentral:rRNA from 1 species
AUAUCAGUAAGCGGAGGAAAAGAAACUAACCAGGAUUCCCCUAGUAACGGCGAGUGAAGCGGGAAGAGCUCAAAUUUAAAAUCUGGGAGCUUUAGGUGGCUCCCCGAAUUGUAGUUUGAAGUGGCGUGUUCUGUGGUGGCAGCCUGGCGGGUCCAAGUCCCUUGGAACAGGGCGUCAGAGAGGGUGACAACCCCGUGUCGUGGCCCGCUCCGCUUAUUAGCCGCCGCAAAUAUGACGCGUCUACGAAGAGUCGGGUUGCUUGGGAAUGCAGCCCAAAGUGGGUGGUAAACCUCAUCUAAGGCUAAAUAACGGCGAGAGACCGAUAGCGAACAAGUACCGUGAGGGAAAGAUGAAAAGAACUUUGAAAAGAGAGUUAAACAGUACGUGAAAUUGUUAAAAGGGAAACGCUUGAAAGCCAGUGACCGAAAGGAUACUGCGGCCGGGGAAUCAGCUGGUGGGGCGGGGCAGCCCGUCUCGCCGGUGCACUUCCCCGGCAUUGCGAGGCCAACGUCAGCCUUUUUCAAGCCGGCUGGAAACGGGGGCCCGGGAAGGUGGGUCUUAUUGAGGCACUUGUGCCUUGUUUGACUGUUAUAGCCCGGGUCUCACAAACACAGGCCGGGAAGGCUGAGGAAAAAAUUACGCGGCCGCCUCUUUUUUGGGGGCCCUUGCCCCUGGUUGGU